AGAGUGUGCUGACCCCUUGUGACGGAGAGCCUGCAGCUGAACAGCUGUCCAUACUGGUGGGCCUGCCUUGCCAGGAAUUAAGCUACAGUUGUCUGUCACACCUCACUUUGGAUCCCAACUCCUACUGAUGUUUAUUCUGAUGCCCUGGAUGGAGACCAAUUGACUAUGUGAGCUCUCCUGCCGCUGGCUGCCAUGCUGCCCCUGCUAUCAGAGACUCUAACCUGUAGUUGGAGUUUUCCUGCCUGGCCCACAGUCAAGACAAAUCUCUGUCACCCGCCAGUCCCAAGCCGCUCAAACCCGACCAAGUAAACACAGAGACUUAUAUUGGUUUCAAACUGUAUGGCCGUGGCAGGCUUCUUGCUAACUGUUCUUACAGCUUAAAUCAAUCCAUUUCUAUUAAUCUAUACCUUGCCACGUGGCUUGUGGCUUACCGGUAUCUUCACAUUCUGUUUCUCAUCGUGGCGGCUGGCAGUGUCUCUCUGACUCAGCCUUCCACUUCCCAGCUUUAUUCUCCUCCUUGUCCCGCCUACACUUCCUGCCUAGCCAAUGGCCAAUCAGUGUUUUAUUUAUUGACUAAUUAGCAACACAUUUGCCAUACAGAACAUCCCACAGCACUUCCCCCAUUUUUUUUUUCAAAAAGGAAGGUUUUAACCUUAACAAAAUAAAAUUACAUACAAUUUGGGAAUUUGGGCGUAGCUUCUCUUACUACUUCCUGCUGGAGGGGGUCGCUGUAUCUUAUGGGGAUACAAAGAAAAUUUUAGAAUUAUGGAAUAGUCCAUGAGGGUGUAUCGUCUGAGCCAGUUGCCUUCAAAUCAUUCUGGAUGUUGGAUCAUCUGGGCCAUGGUGUCAUCGGAGACCUUUCAGGGGGUCUUGGCUGGUCAAACCUGAUGUAUCUUAAUCUUGAACAAAUCCAUAGCCUCUGGCUUUCUGUGGAAACAAAAGCAGAGUCUCCUUUCCAAAGUAACAUAUCCUUAUAUUCAAAUUUUGAAGUCAAGGUACCUUUAAAGUAUACAUUUUGGCAUAACUCAACAGCUUUUACAAUCAAAUGUUUUUCUGCAGUUAAAAGUCCCAAAGACAACACAAUCCAGAUUCUCUGUGUAAUAUCCAUUUUUACGUGGCUUAUUUUUUAUACUACCUUUACUGUCUCUUUAAAGACUUUAUUUUUUAAAACUAUAUAUUUGUUUCUAUAACUCUAUAUAUCAUCUUUUUUGUCUCUUUCAAGCCUACGUAUCUUUUAUACACAUUGUAAACUAUUACAUCUGAAUCUGUCUUAUUGUGAAUCUAUUGCCUUAAACUGCAGCAGCUGUGGCUGCUGGCUCCACCCACCUCAGCUUCCCAACAUAACGGUGUUACCUUUUCCACCAGCUCUGGGAGCUAUCAUGGGUCUAUGCUUUUAGCCAAGCAGCGUGUAGUCCAGAAACCCUUUUUUGUUUUGCACUAGCAAAGGCUAAAUCCACCAUGUAGCUUAAUGUGCCACUUGCAGAGGCCUCAUUCCCGCCAUACUGCAGGUCGAGCACACACUCUAGGAACCCACCAGUAGCUCAAAUCAGCAGCUGCCGCUCAUUUGAGAGAGACAAUUAGGAACUGUUUUUAGCUCCGUUUUAGAAUCUUUUCUCAGGUUUUAGGUGGAAACUCUUGCCACCACGUUGGACGCCAUUUGUAGUUGGAGUUUUCCUGCCUGGCCCACAGUCAAGACAAAUCUCUGUCACCCGCCAGUCCCAAGCCGCUCAAACCCGACCAAGUAAACACAGAGACUUAUAUUGGUUUCAAACUGUAUGGCCGUGGCAGGCUUCUUGCUAACUGUUCUUACAGCUUAAAUCAAUCCAUUUCUAUUAAUCUAUACCUUGCCACGUGGCUUGUGGCUUACCGGUAUCUUCACAUUCUGUUUCUCAUCGUGGCGGCUGGCAGUGUCUCUCUGACUCAGCCUUCCACUUCCCAGCUUUAUUCUCCUCCUUGUCCCGCCUACACUUCCUGCCUAGCCAAUGGCCAAUCAGUGUUUUAUUUAUUGACUAAUUAGCAACACAUUUGCCAUACAGAACAUCCCACAGCACUAACCUUCGGGAACCAUGAGCCAAAACAAGCUCUUCUGUAAGCUGUGUUGAUCGUGGCUUUUGUCUCUGCAACAGGGAAGUCAUUCAUACAGCAGUAGAGUUCCCUGCCAUCUCAGAAGUUGCAAUUUUCAACCAAAUAGACAGACAUAUUGUAUUAUAUUAGCUGACGAUAACUACCAUGGAGAAAACAGUGGAGACUCAGAGGAGACAGGGCGAUGUGUGGUUGCAAUGUACUUAGUGUGGUCAUGCUCAGUGACCAAGAGCACUUGAACCCAGACCUGAGAGAGGAUAGUCUAGCCACACAGGCAUCAGGAGGGGGAACAUUCUAGGCGGAGAGGAAGGCACGCACACAGGGUCUGAUGUCAGAAAGGACUUGCUGGUUUGGGGAUUGUGUGGAUGGUGCAGUGCUUACAAGGGGCAACCUAGCAGGAAGUGAAUUAAAGAUGUAGCUCAGAGUUCAGCCCACAGCUCAGUGGUGGAGUGUUUGCCUAACAUGCACAAGGCCCUGGGAUCCAUUCCCCCAGGAGAAGCAGCUGGGUCCAAUGAGCACCAGUGAGCAACAUCUUUGAAUGAAUCAUUUCUGUGAUUUGUCUCACCACCCAGUAUUGACUUCUUGCCUUAACAAAAUGACUUCCGUUGCUCGGUGCUGCGGAGUGUGCUAGGAUUGCCCCAUUGCAAUCAGAGGAAAGUCUGAUGACUGCUCACUGGGUAGUGACUCACAUCAUUCCUUCUAUCUGAGUGAGCGUUCCACACCUGUGUCCCUCUCGCCUCCACAGACAGGAUUCAGGAGCAAUCACUUUUGUUCAACAGUUCUCCUCUUCUUUACUUAAAGGAACUCUGGAGUUGGAAUCAGAAAGCCUGGGACUAUACUUUCCAAAACAUGAAUCUUUAGAUUAUUCUUCCAAUUUGUGACAGGUCAGAUAAUUCUACUUUUCUAAUUCGUGAAUGAGGACAACAUUAUCUACUCUUCAAGAGUUUUAUAAGAAAUUGGAUUAUUUCAAAAAACAAUUAAAUGAUACCUAGUACAUAGAAAAUGCUAAAUAAACAGUUUUAGUAUUUUAAAUGUGUAUCUAGAUGCUUGACCGCUUGAUGAAAUGCCUACGUAAUCAACAGAUCUAUCUGCCCUACUUGCUAUGGAAACUCUUCUAAAUUGAGUUUGCAUUAUGGUCACUUACACCUGUGCCCAUGCUCGCAUAGUGUGUGUUUCUUGAGAGCCGUUGCAAACACGUGGUUUUAUACCCAACUCUUCACAACCUGUCUGAAGAGGGAGGAAGGUGCUCAAUACUUGCUGGGAGUGUGAGCGACUGAGCCUCCCAGGUUUCUUCAGUUGGCUCAGGUAGUCCUCCACCAGCCUUUCACAACAUCGACAAAGCAAGAUGGUACAUGAUGGAUGGCUCCAUGUCCUCUACCCCACCUAUGUAUCUCCAGUUAGAUUUCCCAGGAAGUCUGCCUUUGAGAUAAUUCAUCUUCUAACAAGUCCAACUGUCUUCUGGUAUGGCUCAGACAUUCACAGUGACCUUGCCUACUUUUCUUUUGAUUUGUUUUAUUUUUGAUUACGUGGAUGUGAGUGUGUGUGUGUGUGUGUGUGUGUGUGUGUGUGUGUGUGUGUGUGUGUUUCUGUGCACAUGAAUGAAGGUGCCUGUGGAGACCAGAAGGCAUGAGACACCAUAGAACUAGAGUUGUGAGCCACCCAAAAUAGAUGCUGGGAACCAAACUCUGGUCAAAAGAAGAGCAAGCACUCUUAACUACUGAGCCAUCUCUCCAGCCCCAUAGACUGUUCAUCUUACAUGGAACUCAUGACUAGAGGAAGUGUGAUGGAAUUGAAUGGCUGUAAACAUCUUACUAGCAGAGACUUGCAAGUACAUUUGAAUUUAACAGAUUCCAGCCAUUAGCAUAUAAGUCCUUGGUAAAUAUUAGAUGUUGAGCCCACCUUGUCACACUGUAGUUCCUGACUCUUGUUUCCUUUGAAAUCUGGAAUAGGACAGUAUAUCUUGGGAAACCAAAUCAGCUGUUUGGCAUGUCUGAUAUGAUGGACAAUGUUGUUUAAUAUUAUCUUUCUAGAAGUUUCCUGAGUUGAUGCUUUUGUUCCCAAGUCUCUUUGCCCAAAUAUAUGCAUCCUCACAUUCUUCCAGGAGCAAAGUCAAGGGCUGCAGAGUUUUCUGAAUCUGGUGUUAACAUUGCCGAGGGGAUGCUUUCUCUGAGGCUAUUGAGUACUGUUAUAGUCAUGUUUCUGCAACUGUAAAUGACUGAGAUACUGUGUGUAAGAAAACACGGUGAACUCCUCUAGCAUAGUAUGGCCCUUCCCUUAACAAAUCACAAUUCACUGAGAAAAUGUGAAAUGGAAAUUCUUAAGUGAGUAAAGAGCACCACAGUGUGGUUCUAGUAAGUAAGAGCACAUAAAUGCUCAAUAUCACAUAUAAAAGACACUCUCCAGUAAAGGUCUAUGUCCUCUGGUUCUUAGUCCUUCCAACUCCUUUUCCAUGAUGAACCCAGGACCUCACACAGGCUAGGUAAAUGCUCUACCACUAAAACACACCAUCAGGUCCCCACAUCUGUGCCAGUGUGGAUGACACCAGAGAGCAGUGGAAAAAAACACAAUUUGUUUUUGAUGAAUUUUGGGUCACACAGUGUCAUGGUCUGUUUAGGUAGCAAUAUUUCCAUGUAUUUGGGCAAGCUUAAUCUCUGCUUCCCUGUAGCAGGUACUAUUCCUAUGCUCCAUGCAGUUUAUGGCAUGCUUGGGAGGCAGACAACACUCUUAGGAAGUGGAGAGAUGCUCAGGCAGGAAGUGCAGAGAUACUCAGAGGCAGCUGGUUUUGUUCUGAGGGUGCAGGGCAAUGGGUACCACUCAGAAAGGAGGAUCUAGACAAAAUUCAAGGUACAGACUGAGAAAGUUUUAGAAAUUGGGAAGUGAUUCUGUGUGACGUGUUGUGCAGGCCACUCACUUUUAGGUCUUAGUGUUCCAUUCUCUUCCUACAUAUCUUCACAGUGUCAUUGGGAAACAAACUGGCUCUUUUCAAUCAUGUCACGUUCUCAUCAGACAACAGCAAUCUGAUUUUCAAAAGCAUGCCUCAUAUUAUUGUAGUGCGAUCACAUAAUGUCAUGUGCUUAUUCUCCAGUGCAAGAUAGAGUCUGAAGUCUAUCCCCUUGGAGAAAUGCAGUUGCUCUGAAAGACACACUCACGAAGGAGGUAUCAGUGCAGAGAAAAGCCUCUGACUUUGUCUGCGGGUUUGGUGUUCUGCCACUUCACUGACAGUGUUUAUCAGAUCUGAAAUUUUCGGGUGACAUCUGUGGGGUCUUUAAAUAAAGACAAUAUCAGCAAAUAGUGGUGGCUGGACUUCUUCCUUUCCAAUUUUAUAUUUUUCUUGCCUUAUUGCUCUAAGACUUUGAGUGCUAAGUAGAAUAAGGGUGAGGAGAGUGUUGUUUUAUCUCAUUCCAGCUGUUAAAUGGGAAAUGCUCUCCAUUUUCCCCCUUUACUAUAAUGUUGGCUACAUUUUUUGUCAUAUUUAGCCUUUAUUAAAUUGAGGUUGGUUCCAUCUAAUCCUGGUUUCUUCAGGUCUUUGAUCAUUAAGGUAUGUUGAACUUUCUCAAAUGCUUUUUCUGCAACUAUGGAGAUGAUCAUGUGAUUUCUGUCUUUAAGUCUAUUAAUAUGGUAUAUUUAUUGAUUUGUGUGCGUUGAACAAACUUUGCUUCCCUGUGAGGAAACCAAUUUGAUCAAGCAUGUGACCUUCAGGUGACCUUGAAUUUGUUUUGCAAGUACUGUUGGGAAUUUUUGUUUAUUUAUUUGAGGAUUUUCUAUAUUUGUUAGGGAAAUUGGUCUGUAGUUU